rnacentral:rRNA from 1 species
CCGCGGACGGCUCAUUAAAUCAGUCGUGGUCCAAAUGGGCUAGAGUUGUCUUACUUGGAUAACUGUGGUAAUUCCAGAGCUAAUACAUGCAACUGAAGGUUCGAUCUUUGUGGCUUCGGCUGCUCGGUGACGGCCGCUUUUAUUAGACCAAACCGCUCUCGAGUGAGUUAAUUCUCUCUCUUUGACCCGUGUUGUGGUGACUCUGGAUAACACCUCAUGACAAGCGCACGUAUCCAUUUGUAUGGGACGGCGCUGCCACUUUCGAGUGUCUGCCUUAUCAGCUGUGUAUCGUUCGUUAUGUGCGAACGAUGGCUUUGACGGGUAACGGGGAAUCAGGGUUCGAUUCCGGAGAGGCAGCCUGAGAAACGGCUACCACGUCCAAGGACGGCAGCAGGCACGCAAAUUACCCAAUCCCAGCUCCUCUGGGGGAGGUAGUGACGAAAUCUAACGAUGCGGGCGCCCCUUCUGGGGCCCCGCAAUCGGAAUGAGCGCUUUCUAAACGACCCGUUGAGAACCUACUGAAGGGCAAGUCUGGUGCCAGCAGCCGCGGUAAUUCCAGCUUCAGCAGCAUCUACUAAAGUUGCUGCGGUUAAAAGGCUCGCAGUUGAAUGUCAGUAUCAGGUGCAGCGAAGGUGGACGUUGGAGAUUGCUUGUGCGUGCGAGAGUGUGGGUUGAUUCAUUCUUCCCCUCUCUCGUGUGCCUCGCAAAUAUGUAAACCUCCCGUCCGUUUCAAGCCUCCUCACCUGUGUACAAAGUUGGGCCUGUCGGGAGACUUGAGAGAGAGAGCGCGCUCGCGUGUUGUUGAUCUCUUGAAUCCCUCGGUCCUGUUGUCACCUUGAGUAAAUCAGAGUGCUCAAAGCAGUCGUGAGCUGAUCGGGGGGCUUACGCCCUUCGUGACGGAAAUUUGAAUGUCCUUCUCCUACAAGUUGGGAGAGACAGACGGUCUUGGUUUUGCAUGGUAUGUCGAAAGACGCCGACUAUCCUUGUCGGUAACGGGUCUUGUGUGGUUGUUGAAGGGAGAAGUGUGUGUGUUUGUUCACGCGCAUGUGUAUCCCUUUGGCGUUACUCCCCGACGGGAGCGGUAUGAUAAAAAGGACUGGUCGAGGGCAUUGGUAUUGCUGGGCGAGAGGUGAAAUUCUAUGACCCCAGCAAGACCUCCUGAAGCGAAAGCGUUUGCCAAGGACGUGCGUGGAGCCUGCGGCUUAAUUUGACUCAACACGGGCCAUCUCACCAGGCCAGCACUCUUGUACGAUUGACAGAUUGAGAGUUCUUUCUUGAUUCAGUGGAUGGUGGUGCAUGGCCGUUCUUAGUUGGUGGAGCGAUCUGUCUGGUUAAUUCCGAUAACGAACGAGACUCUCUCCUGCUAAAUAGUCGGUUGGAUCUUGCGUCAAGUGAGAGUCGCCUAGGUGUCUUGCGCAUUUCGUUCGUGCCUCUGUGACUUUUGUCUCAGAUAAUCGUUCGUGUGCGUGUCGCCAAAGCACUCCAAGUCCACCGCUUGCUUCUUCCUGAUCGCGCAAGCGUUAGGGAGGUUGUAAAACUCUUCUUAGAGGGAUUCACGGUUCUGAAGCCGUAAGAAACUGAGAGCAAUAACAGGUCUGUGAUGCCCUUAGAUGUUCUGGGCCGCACGCGCGCUACAAUGCCGGGCACAGCAGGUGUUAUUCCUUCUCCGAGAGGAGUGGGUAACCCUCUGAAAGCCCUUCAAACAUAAUAUCAUACGGUGUUGUUGCAUGCUUCUGCAUGUGAUUUCACUAGCGGCUUGCUUGGGCCUGGGGCUUGCAAUUCUUUCCCACAAACGAGGAAUGCCUAGUAGCGGCGGAUCACUGAGUUCGCUGUGACUCAGUCCCUGCCCUUUGUACACACCGCCCGUCGCUACUACCGAUUGGGUGUACCAGUGAGUUCUUCGGACUGGCGAGCCUGGUUGUGCGUACUCUUAACGGGGUGUCGCGCGUCAGUGCCAACGACGGAAGAGUUCGAACUGCUGUACUUAGAGGAAGUAAAGUCGUAACAAGGUUUCCGUAGUG